UGGCCGGAGGAGGAGAGCCACGGGGACGAGCACAGCACUGGCAGAGCAGAGCUGGGAAGCUCAGGGACCAUCCUCGCAGAUGGCAGCUCUUCCCUUGUGCCCUGGAAGCAGGAUGUCAUCCUGUCUCCCAGACUCAUGGUCCCACAAUUCCAGAGCGACUGGGCAUGGUGGUAAGCAAAGCCUUUCUGGAGGAUGCUCCACUGCCUUUCCUGGUAGAAACCACAGCUGCCAGAGAAGAAGAGGCUGCAGUACUCACCAGCCUUGUUGACAGAUGGAAAUAUAGGCCAGCAUUCAGCUCUGCAGUCCUCCUACAAGAGGAUCCACUUUUGGGAUGUCCUCCUGCAGCACUGCUGUGACCCCGGGAGCUGGCAGGUCUCUCUGAGACCAGGCUAGGUUUUGGAAACCUGGGAAGUCCACUCACCAUGGCACAGCAGAGGGUAAAAGCUUGAGGAUGUUGCCCCAGUUUUGGGAUCUUCCUAAAGAAAUGUAACAUUUAGACUUUCCCGGGCCAUAACCUACAGAGGCAGCAUUCCUUUACUUGUCUCCACAAGAUGCUGUGGCAAAAAACACGUAAAGGUUCUGACACCUCCAAUGCUUUGUUUCGCACAGUGCAAGAGAGGCUGCAGGGUCUGUGCAGAUUGGUUGUCUGCUGGGAAACAGCUUCAAUCUUAUGAAACAAUUCCCAUGUGUCUCAUUGGGGUACAGAGCCAUCAGAGAGGAUGGCAUGUGCUGGGAUGUACUGGUGUAACACAGAGGAACACUUCUGGGCAUCAGUUCCAUAAGGGUAACAGCAGCUCUCUGCUCUGGCUGCUCACCAAGCACU